AAGAUGGAGCUUCGCUUGUACUGGCCGCUGCACGCCUAUUUCGCUCCAAUUCCGUAGUAACACAUCGAUCAACGUUCUUCCAUUCGCGUCUUAUUCCAACUAUAAUUCCAUGCAGAAGUUAUUUUUGGAGUUAAUUUGAUACAUGAACUAAGAAAGAUUUAAAUGAUUUUAUUGCCCUAUAAAUAUUAUUGUACAUUUCAAAUGGUGCAUUGAUAGAUCAUUUAUUCAUGAGGCACAAUAUUGACUAAGAUAAUGUAAGGGGAAUAAAGGAGGUCAUAUGUGAUGAGGUAAUUAAUUUGUUUCCACGUCCAUUACUCCUGGUUAAUAUAGUGAUACUGAAAGUUGCUCAAUCCAUUCCAAAUAAUUGACACCGGCACUAUUUAAUUUUAAAUUUAACCAUCUUUUGCACAAAAAAAAAAGAAUACAUGAAAAAUAUGGUAUACUAGCGAACAAUGUGCUGUCAAAAAUAUUAUCAUACAAAUUUCUUUCAUCAUAAUAUAAUUAUUUAAAAGUAUUUAUGGUUAAAGUGAACCGACUGUAGUCAAUUAUUUGAAGAACAGAGGUAGCAAAUUCUGAGUUUAAACAUGAAUAUUUUGGUAUUUAGAUUUUACCAUAACAUUUACCACGGAAGGUUAAAUGGCCUCACACCUCUUUGUGCACUCUUAUUAUAUAGAUUCUGUUUCUAUUUUAUAAAUCGGCGGGAUGCUCUAGGAUUUACUUGGAUGGAAGUUCAAAUGUGGGGCAGACACACCAAGGGUGCGCUCCACAUUAUAUAUGUUUUGUACAAACUUUAUCAUUUGUUGAGAAGGAGGUGGUAUGGACUCACAAGAAGUGUGUGCUUUUAUAGGUCUGGUAAUAGGCUCCAAACAUUGAUCGAUGAAGGAUUUGCACAUCCAUUCAAUCUAAGGACUUAAAUCUAGCUAGGCGAAACGAGAUGCACAUCUUAAGUUAUGCUUAGCUCCCCCAAUUAUUUUUUACAUUGAAUUGUACAUUCAAGCCUGUUUUUCUCGCAUGUUUCCGUAUUUCAAAAGUACGGUCGAGUUGUUUUGUUUGCACUAAAUAAAAGUACUGCUCCCAACGUUCAAAUAUAAGAAUUUCUGCGUGUUUCCCAAAUUUUGAAAAUCUCACAGAAAACACAUAUAUUUUGGAAUGGACAUAGUACUCCGUAGUUUCAACCGUACACUUCUCUACAAAUUUUCCCAGUAAAAAAAACUCAACUAGCAUCAACGGUAGCAAUUAGGUCGAAAACUGUGAUACGAUAAAACCAUGUUACAUGGAUACACAAUAAAGAUAUGGCUAGUAUUGGACUAGCGACCUAAGGUACCUUUUUUUUUCUGGAUAAUCUGUUUGGAUGCUCACCUCAUUUUGCCACAAUUUUGUGCUAAAAGUAUAUCAAGGUAUAAAUUGUGCGGCUCCAAAAUUAAUGGUCAUAUUUGUGUCAAACUUUGGCUAAGAAAAGAGCCUAUGAUUUGUGGGACCAAAAGAUAAGAAAUCAUUGCAUGCUAAAAUUGUAGAAACCAACCAAACACUAGCCAUAUUUUACCACAUUUUGCCAUAUAAUAGUCAAGAGUGGUAAAAUACAACACCAAUGAAGCAUGCUCUAAACACUUGAAUGAUUUUGUAAUUGUUAUUUAAGGGUCCAAACAAAUCAAUUGACUAUUAGAAGUUAAAAUAGAUUUAAAAUAGGCUUUUAAAGAAAUUUAUGUAAUCAAAUUUUUAUGAAAAGUUAAACAUGAAGCAUGUCAUAUUAAUCCAUGAUACCCAAUGUGAUAUUUGCCCAUUGUAGUGGGGCCUGUCUGUAAAUAUCAUUGUGCUUUAAGCUAGUUUAAUAAAGUAUAUACUUUCUUCGUCUAAACAAUAUCCAAUUAUAGAGAUAUAAAAAGGUGACAAUAUCAUCUGAGGCUUUUGGUCUCAGUUAGUCUUGCAAAAAAUAUAAAAAAAAUGCUUUUGAAGUUUUUCACAAAGUUUACUUUUAUAUUGUUAAAAACACAUAUAUAAAAAAUUUAUUUAUAAAUUAUUUUUUAUUUAUAAAUAUACCGUUUGUGACUUACCAGAACAAGGAGAGAAGAGUCUGUUCAUCGGUCCAUCACGGCCGGACAAACCUCGCCGCUUCGCUUCGCUUCACCCUUUUUCGGUUCGCUCUAGCUCCUCAUCCCGUUAU
rnacentral:lncRNA from 1 species